UCCCGGAUCGUCUAAUGGCAGGACGAGUGGUUCUGGUCCACUAAAUCGGGGUUCGAAUCCCUGUCCGGGAACCA
rnacentral:tRNA from 1 species